rnacentral:rRNA from 1 species
GACGAACGCUGGCGGCGUGCUUAACACAUGCAAGUCGAACGGCAAGGCCCUGCUCUUGUUGGGUGCUCGAGUGGCGAACGGGUGUGUAACACGUGAGUAACCUGCCCUUGACUUUGGGAUAACUUCAGGAAACUGGGGCUAAUACCGGAUAUGAGCUCCUGCUGCAUGGUGGGGGUUGGAAAGUUUCGGCCGUUGGGGAUGGACUGGCGGCUUAUCAGCUUGUUGGUGGGGUAGUGGCUUACCAAGGCUUUGACGGGUAGCCGGCCUGAGAGGGUGACCGGCGACAUUGGGACUAAGAGACGGCCCAGACGCGUACGGGAGGCAGCGGUGGGGAGUAUGGCACAAUGAGCGGGAGCCUGAGGCAGCGGCGCCGCGUGCGGGAUGACGGCCUUCGGGUUAUAAACCGCUUUCGCCUGUGACGAAGCGUGAGUGACGGUAAUGGGUAAAGAAGCACCGGCUAACUACGUG